rnacentral:rRNA from 1 species
GAUGAACGCUGGCGGCGUGCCUAAUACAUGCAAGUCGAGCGAACAGACGAGGAGCUUGCUCCUCUGACGUUAGCGGCGGACGGGUGAGUAACACGUGGAUAACCUACCUAUAAGACUGGGAUAACUUCGGGAAACCGGAGCUAAUACCGGAUAAUAUAUUUAACCGCAUGGUUCAAUAUUGAAAUACGGUUUUUCUGUCACUUAUAGAUGGAUCCGCGCCGCAUUAGCUAGUUGGUAAGGUAACGGCUUACCAAGGCGACGAUGCGUAGCCGACCUGAGAGGGUGAUCGGCCAAACUGGAACUGAGACACGGUCCAGACUCCUACGGGAGGCAGCAGUAGGGAAUCUUCCGCAAUGGGCGAAAGCAUGACGGAGCAACGCCGCGUGAGUGAUGAAGGUCUUCGGAUCGUAAAACUCUGUUAUUAGGGAAGAACAAAUGUGUAAGUAACUAUGCACGUCUUGACGGUACCUAAUCAGAAAGCCACGGCUAACUACGUG